rnacentral:rRNA from 1 species
CAGCCGCCGCGGUAAAACCAGCACCUCAAGUGGUCAGGAUGAUUAUUGGGCCUAAAGCAUCCGUAGCCCGUUUUGUAAGUUUUCGGUUAAAUCCAUGCGCUUAACGUAUGGGCUGCCGGGAAUACUGCAUAACUAGGAAGUGGGAGAGGUAGACGGUACUCGGUAGGAAGGGGUAAAAUCCUUUGAUCUAUUGAUGACCACCUGUGGCGAAGGCGGUCUACCAGAACACGUUCGACGGUGAGGGAUGAAAGCUGGGGGAGCAAACCGGAUUAGAUACCCGGGUAGUCCCAGCUGUAAACUAUGCAAACUCAGUGAUGCAUUGGCUUAUGGCCAAUGCAGUGCUGCAGGGAAGCCGUUAAGUUUGCCGCCUGGGAAGUACGUACGCAAGUAUGAAACUUAAAGGAAUUGGCGGGGGGAGCACC